CCUACGGGAGGCAGCAGUGAGGAAUAUUGGUCAAUGGACGAGAGUCUGAACCAGCCAAGUAGCGUGAAGGAUGACUGCCCUAUGGGUUGUAAACUUCUUUUAUCUGGGAAUAAAAUGUUCCACGUGUGGGCUUUUGUAUGUACCAUAUGAAUAAGGAUCGGCUAACUCCGUGCCAGCAGCCGCGGUAAUACGGAGGAUCCGAGCGUUAUCCGGAUUUAUUGGGUUUAAAGGGAGCGUAGGUGGAUUGUUAAGUCAGUUGUGAAAGUUUGCGGCGUAACCGUAAAAUUGCAGUUGAAACUGGCAGUCUUGAGUACAGUAGAGGUGGGCGGAAUGCGUGGUGUAGCGGUGAAAUGCUUAGAUAUCACGAAGAACUCCGAUUGCGAAGGCAGCUCACUGGACUGCAACUGACACUGAGGCUCGAAAGUGUGGGUAUCAAACAGGAUUAGAUACCCGUGUAGUC
rnacentral:rRNA from 1 species